rnacentral:rRNA from 1 species
UACGGGGGGGGCAAGCGUUGUUCGGAAUUACUGGGCGUAAAGGGCUCGUAGGUGGCCAACUAAGUCAGACGUGAAAUCCCUCAGCUUAACUGGGGAACUGCGUCUGAUACUGGAUGGCUUGAGUUUGGGAGAGGGAUGCGGAAUUCCAGGUGUAGCGGUGAAAUGCGUAGAUAUCUGGAGGAACACCGGUGGCGAAGGCGGCGUUCUGGACUGCAACUGACACUGAAAAACGAAAGCCAGGGGAGCAAACGGG